GCCAGUGUGGAGUAGUGGUUUGAGUGUUGGACUAUGAUUCUGGAGACCAGGGUUCGAACCCUGGCUUGGUC